AUCCAGCUGACGAGCCCCAAAUGGGACGAAACGCGCGUCCUGGAU
rnacentral:hammerhead_ribozyme from 1 species